rnacentral:rRNA from 1 species
GACGAACGCUGGCGGCGUGCCUAAUACAUGCAAGUCGAACGCUGAAGGAGGAGCUUGCUCUUCUGGAUGAGUUGCGAACGGGUGAGUAACGCGUAGGUAACCUGCCUGGUAGCGGGGGAUAACUAUUGGAAACGAUAGCUAAUACCGCAUAAGAGUAGAUGUUGCAUGACAUUUGCUUAAAAGGUGCAAUUGCAUCACUAACAGAUGGACCUGCGUUGUAUUAGCUAGUUGGUGGGGUAACGGCUCACCAAGGCGACGAUACAUAGCCGACCUGAGAGGGUGAUCGGCCACACUGGGACUGAGACACGGCCCAGACUCCUACGGGAGGCAGCAGUAGGGAAUCUGCGGCAAUGGACGGAAGUCUGACCGAGCAACGCCGCGUGAGUGAGGAAGGUUGUCGGAUCGUAAAGCUCUGUUGUAAGAGAAGAACGAGUGUGAGGGUGGAAAGUUCACAAUGUGACGGUAUCUUACCAGAAAGGGACGGCUAACUACGUG